rnacentral:tRNA from 1 species
UGGGGAGUGGUCUAAUGGUAGGACAACAGAUUCUGAAUCUGUCAGGUGAGGGUUCGAAUCCUUCCUCCCCAACCA